rnacentral:rRNA from 1 species
GACGAACGCUGGCGGCGUGCUUAACACAUGCAAGUCGAACGCUGAAGCUUGGUGCUUGCACUGGGUGGAUGUGUGGCGAACGGGUGAGUAAUACGUGAGUAACCUGCCCUUGACCCUGGGAUAAGCCUGGGAAACUGGGUCUAAUACUGGAUACGACAUGCCACCGCAUGGUGGUGUGUGGAAAGGGUUUUACUGGUUUUGGAUGGGCUCACGGCCUAUCAGCUUGUUGGUGGGGUAAUGGCCUACCAAGGCGACGACGGGUAGCCGGCCUGAGAGGGUGACCGGCCACACUGGGACUGAGACACGGCCCAGACUCCUACGGGAGGCAGCAGUGGGGAAUAUUGCACAAUGGGCGGAAGCCUGAUGCAGCGACGCCGCGUGAGGGAUGACGGCCUUCGGGUUGUAAACCUCUUUCAGCACGGAAGAAGCGAGAGUGACGGUACGUGCAGAAGAAGCGCCGGCUAACUACGUG